CAGCAGCCGCGGGAAAACGGAGGGUGCAAGCGUUGUCCGGAUUUAUUGGGUUUAAAGGGUGCGUAGGCGGCUAUUUAAGUCAGCGGUGAAAGACUCCGGCUCAACCGGAGCAGUGCCAUUGAUACUGGAUAGCUUGAGUGUUGGAGGGGUACAUGGAAUUGAUGGUGUAGCGGUGAAAUGCAUAGAUACCAUCAGGAACACCGAUAGCGAAGGCAUUGUACUGGCCAACAACUGACGCUGAGGCACGAAAGCAUGGGGAGCGAACAGGAUUAGAUACCCUGUAGUCCCUGUCUCUUAUACC
rnacentral:rRNA from 1 species